rnacentral:tRNA from 1 species
UAGUUCAAUCGGUCAAAGCACCGCCCUGUCAAGGCGGAAUCUACGGGUUCGAGCCCCGU